rnacentral:misc_RNA from 1 species
UGGUGAACCAGCGGAGGGAUCAUUACUGAGUUAUCCAACUCCCAAACCCCUGUGAACAUACCUAUGUUGCUUCGGCGGGUCGUCCCGCGGCGCGCCCUCGUGGCGUGACCCGGACCCAGGCGCCCGCCGGGGAACCAAACUCUUGUCUUCCAGUGUCUCCUCUGAGUGGCAUAAGCAAAAAUAAACAAAACUUUCAGCAACGGAUCUCUUGGUUCUGG